rnacentral:rRNA from 1 species
UACAGAGGUGGCAAGCGUUGUUCGGAAUUACUGGGCGUAAAGGGCGCGUAGGCGGCCAUCUAAGUCAGACGUGAAAUCCCCCGGCUUAACCUGGGAACUGCGUCUGAUACUGGACGGCUUGAGUAUGGGAGAGGGAUGUAGAAUUCCAGGUGUAGCGGUGAAAUGCGUAGAUAUCUGGAGGAAUACCGGUGGCGAAGGCGGCAUCCUGGACCAUUACUGACGCUGAGGCGCGAAAGCUAGGGGAGCAA